AUUGAACGCUAGCGGGAUGCUUUACACAUGCAAGUCGAACGGCAGCGCGGACUUCGGUCUGGCGGCGAGUGGCGAACGGGAGAGUAAUGUAUCGGAACGUGCCCAGUAGCGGGGGAUAACUACGCGAAAGCGUAGCUAAUACCGCAUACGCCCUACGGGGGAAAGCAGGGGAUCGUAAGACCUUGCACUAUUGGAGCGGCCGAUAUCGGAUUAGCUAGUUGGUGAGGUAACGGCUCACCAAGGCGACGAUCCGUAGCUGGUUUGAGAGGACGACCAGCCACACUGGGACUGGGACACGGCCCAGACUCCUACGGGAGGCAGCAGUGGGGAAUUUUGGACAAUGGGGGCAACCCUGAUCCAGCCAUCCCGCGUGUGCGAUGAAGGCCUUCGGGUUGUAAAGCACUUUUGGCAGGAAAGAAACGUCGCGGGCUAAUACCCCGUGGAACUGACGGUACCUGCAGAAUAAGCACCGGCUAACUACGUG
rnacentral:rRNA from 1 species